GUGAAGUCAUGUGAGUGAUUCAGUAUAUGCUUUGUAUGGCUGGAGAAAGCUCAGUAGAUACAAGAAAAAGCAGUGUGUAACAGAUCUCCCCCCACCAUGCAGUGAUCUAAGAGAUGGACCCAGGCUAAAUGGUUUGGAAUAGUUCACCAGUGAAGUCAUCUCAACCAGCACAGGGCCUUGACUCCUAACAACAAUCACACGAACUUGGAAGAGGAGCCUUCCCCACCUGAACCUUCACUUGAGACCUCGUCCUUGGCCAUCCUCUACAUCUGGAUUCAUGAUACAGAGAAACUUGAGUAAUGAUGACAAUAGCAGUCCAGUGUGCAUGGAUGCUGACGUGGAUGCUGUCUCCCAUUCUUACCACUGGAUGGGAAGAAAUGAUAGAUGCAAUCCAGCCAUUGUGUUCUCGACUCUCAGUUCCAUCUUCUCAACUGACAUUGUCUUCCAAAGUCCGUGCCACACCACAGCCUGGAACAUCUCCCAAAGUGGUAUCUUGAUGCAAUGGUAGAGCUCAUGUCACAGUAUUGUAUGUCUCAGGUUUGAAUAACUCACCAGUGAAGUCAUCUUGACCUGGACAGAAAUUGAAUCCUCCCGAGAAUCCCAGGAGCUGGGUAGGUGAUCCUUCCCCAGAUGAGCCUUCCCUUGAAAUCUCUGCCAGGCAUCUGACCCAGAGAAACUACCAUGAUCAUGGACUGCAUUCUCCAUACCAUGUUCAUAUCUUCAGUGGGAAAACAAACUCCUGAGUCCUGGAGACCUAGAAUGAGAGACACAGCUGACCUUGACCGUAUUUCUCACUUCUGAGAAGAUUGUAGCAGUAAUUCAGGUCUUUGUGGAAUCUCCACACUGCCUUCCACAAUGGUUGAACUAAUUUGGACGUCCACCAACGGUGUGUCAGAGAGGUUAAUCCUAAGAACAGUUACAUGAGCUUGGAAGGAGACCCUUCCCCAGCUGAGCCUUAGCCUGGACCAUCACCUACAUCUGGACUGAAGACCUAGAGAAACAACUCUAUCAGGAAUCACUUGGGACUGUGCAUUCUGUUGACACUCACUUUGUGGAAUUAAGUUGCCCACUGCCAACCCUAAAGCCACCAAGGUAGCAGAUGAGGUCUUGUUCUUUUGGCCAGGCUGGAGUGCAGUGGUACAGUCGUGACUCACUGCAGCUUCAAACACCUGGGUUCCAGCAUUCAUCCCACUUCAGCCUCCCGUGUAGCCGGGACUACAGGUAUGAAAUAAUUUCCUAUUGAAGUCAUCUUAACAUGGAACCAGAAUUAAAUCCUAACAACAAUCAUGUGAGCCUGGGGAGGAUCCUUCCCCACGUGAGCCUUCAGGGGAGACUUCAGCCUUGGCCAUCUUCUACAUCUAGAUUCCUGACCAAGAGAAGCUUUGGAGUUUGCUGUUUCGCCCAGGCUGGAGUGAAGUGGCGAGAUCUCCCCUCACUGCAACCUCCGCCCCCGGGGUUCAAGUGAUUCUCCUGCCUCAGCCACCACCAUUUAACACUGAGAAGUGGGCAGUCACAGAGAAAAAGUUUAGAAUAGUUCACCAGUGAAGUCAUCUCAACCAGCACAGGGCCUUGACUCCUAACAACAAUCACACGAACUUGGAAGAGGAGCCUUCCCCAACUGAACCUUCGCUUGAGACCUCGUCCUUGGCCAUCCUCUACAUCUGGAUUCAUGAUACAGAGAAACUUGAGUAAUGAUGACACUAGCAGUCCAGCCUGCAUGGAUGCUGACAUGGAUGCUGUCUCCCAUUCUUACCACUGGAUGGGAAGAAAUGCUAGAUGCAAUCCAGCCAGUCUGUACUCGACUGUCAGUUCCAUCUUCUCAACUCACAGUGUCUUCCAAAGUCCGUGCCACACCACAGCCUGGAACAUCUCCCAAGGUUUCAAAUAAUUCAUCAGUGAAUUCUUCUCAACCUGGUCAAUCAUGUGAACUUAGAAGAUGAUUCCUCCCCAGCUGAUCCUCAGGUGAGACAUCAGCCUUGGCCAUCAUCUACAUCUGGAUUCCUGACCCAGAGAAACUGAAUUUUAUGGAACCUUGUAUUCUGUUGAAUACCAGAAUUAUAUCAGCAAUCCCAAAGUCACCAAAUGGGCAUCAUCAUGACAGCAGACCGUGAUCAUGGGCUACAUUCUCCGUACCAGCUUCAUAGCUCCAGUGAGAAAAUAAAUUCCUGCAUCCAGGAGAUGUGGAGUAAGAGAUACAGCUGCCCUUGACCAUAUUUCUUACUUCCGAGAAGAUCGUAGCAGUAAUUCAGAAUCUCAUCCAGGAUACCUCAUCACAGGCUGGAGUGCAGUGUCAUGAGCUUGGCUCACUACAGCCUCCAUCUUCUGUGCUUAAGGAUCCUUCCCUCUCAACCUCCAAGGUAGCUGAGACUACAGGUAUGUGCCACCAUGCUGGACUAAUUUAUUGUUGUUGUUGUUGUUUGUUAGAUUUUUGGUAGAGGCAAGGUUUCACCAUGUUGCCCAGGCCAGAGUCAAACUCCUGGGCUCAAGUGAUAUUUAUUUUGUUAUAGAGAUGGGGUCUUAAUGUGGUGCCCAGGCUAGUCUGGGAUUACAGGUGUGAGCCACUGUGCCUUGCCAAAAACUGCCAUUCUCAUCAUAUCGUACCAAGAGUACAAACUCAACAAGGGUACAAACUGUCAACCAGAGUAGACAUUCAUUAUUGGCAGAAUGUCUACAAAUUCCUUUAAACCUUCACCAUAAACAUGUGCCUACUCUCUUCCAAUUAUUUCAUGUGUAUUAAUUUAUUCAUUUAUACAUGCAUCUUUUAUUUAUAUCAUUAUCUAAAUAUGGAGAUUUAUUUUACAAUGCGUAUGUGCUAUUUUUUUUUUUUUGAGACAGAGCCUUUCUCUGUUGCCCAGGCUGGAGUGCAAUGGUGCGAUCUCAGCUCAUCGCAACCUCUGCCCCCUGGGUUCAAGCGAUUCUAGUGCCUCAGUUUCCUGACUGGCUGGGAUUACAGGCAUGAGACACUACACCUGGCUAAGUUUUGUGUUUUUAGUAGAGACAGGGUUUCACCAUGUUGGCCAGGUUGGUCUUAAACUCCAUACCUCAGAUGAUCCACCCUCCUCGGCCUCCCAAAGUGCUGGGAUUACAGGCAUGAGCCACCAUGCUUGGCCGCUAUUUUUUUUUUUAAUUGCACAAAUUGUUCCAGUGUUGGCUAUUGGAAGGUUUUUAAGUUGUCUCUUGUAUCACUUUGAAAUACCUCCAUAAUUAAAGUUUGAUGUUGUGUGGUUGGUUGGUUUUGUUGUUGUUUGGCAUUUUCUUUUGUUCAGUCACUAUUAUAUGCUCCAGUCUAUGAAUUUAAUUGUGCUCCAGGGUAAUUUGGUAAUUUUAUAAUUUCUACGAAUGUUUCCAACACCAUAUGACCUAAUCCAGCACCAUAUAAAUGGAUCCACUCAUUCUCUCAUUUGUAUGUAAUCUAGCACUCCCUGCAAGCAAGUUGAUGUUGUUAAUUUAAUCAUGCUACCUGAACAAGGUAUAUUGCUAUGUAGAAAAAUACAAGUUGAAACAGUCAAAAUACUGUGUAAUUCCAUUCAUAUGACUCUGUAGAAAAGGAAAAAGUGUAGUGAUAGUAGAGUUCAGUGGUAACAAGGGGCUUGGGAGAGAUAUAGGUGACAUCAGUGAACUACCGAAGAUUUCUUUUGGGCAGUGAAAUUCCUCUUUGAUACUGUAACGGUGGAUACAUCAUAAUGUUUUCCAAAUCCUGAAGAACUUUGUAACACAAAGAGUGUAGCUAAUUUAUGCAAAUUAAAAACCUUAUUUAGGAGGUCACAAGUUUGCCUUUUCACAGUAUUUUACCUUUUCCAACUUAUAUUUUUUAGCAAUAUGCUUUUUAGAUUUUUGAAGUACACCUCAUGGUUUUUAGAUUUGCCUUCACCUAAUUGUUGUAGGACAGGUGAGUCACACAAUUGGGGCUUAUCCUGAGAGGGUUAUUAGCUUUGUCCAGGAAAGAAUUUAAGGGCAAGUGGGUGAUGUUAGACUGCAAUAUUUUAUUGAAUGGUACUGCUCCUAGCAGAGCAGGGCUAACUCUUAAGCAGUGUGUUCAGAGUUGGCAACAUAUAGGCCUCCUGGCAACUGUGUUUAUAUGCAAUCAAACCCACUUUUAAUUAUAUGCAAAUUGAGGGGCAGAUCAAUGCAAAUUGAGGCAGGAAAGGGGCAGUGACUUCUAGGUUGUCUCCAUGGAAAGGGGCAGUAACUUCUGAGCUGUAGCCAUGGAAUUUGUAAACAGUUAUGUGGUUGGUAGGAGUGUCAUAUGAGUGACAAAUGAAGACUGCCAGGGAUCACAUUUACCACAAUGUACACGCUUCUGUCAGUUUUUUCCCUUUAUCCUGUCUGGAGCAGAUCUUAUUUUGGUCAUCAAGGUUGUGAAACCAGAAAACAAGUCCUUCCAGUCUCCUACCUCAUAAUGACAAAAGACAUUGAGCAUAAUUUCAUGUGAUUUUGGAUAUGACUAUGGCUUUCUUUUGAGAGUUGGCUAUUUAAGAUUUUGCCAUUUUUGAUUGGGAUAUUUGCCUUUUUAAUUUUGAGUUGUAAGACAUUGUAUAUUCUGGAUAAUAGACCAUUAUCACCUAUAAAAUUUGCAAUUUUCACAUAUUUUCUGCCAUUCUUUGGGUGCCUCUUUAUAUUUGAUGGUGGACUUUAAAUUGCAAAAGAUUUUAAUUCUAAUGAAGUUUAAUAUUUCUAUAUUUUCUUCUUUCCUUUGUGCUUUUCAGUGUCAUAUCUUAAAACAUUGUUUAACCAGAGACCACAAAGAUGUAUUCCUGUGUUCCUUUUUAUGGGUUGGCCCUGUUUAGCUCUUAUAUUUAGAUGGAUUAUCAUUUUGAGUCAAUUAUGUUUCUGGUAUGAGGCAAGAGUCUAACUUGCAUGUGGAUAUCCACUUGACCCACAAACAUUUGACAAGAAAAUAUUGCUUCAUACCUAAUUUAUUUGGCCACAGUAUAAAAGCAUUUCACCAUAAAUGUAGGGAUUCAUUUUUCAGUAUUAUAUUCUCUACUCCAUUGAUCAAUACAUAUAUCCCUAUACUAGUACCACAAAUCUUGAUUACUAUUACUUUGUAGUAAGUUUUGCAAUCAAGAAGCAUAUGUCUACUAUGCAAACCCUUUUUGUCCUUCUCAAGAGUGUUUUGGCUGCUCAUGAUCUAUAUUAUAUAUAAUUUUAGGAUAAACUUCUGAAUUUAGGGGAAGGUAAUGCCACCUGGUGUUUUGAGAGAAGUUGCAUUAAUUCUAUAGAUCCAUUUGGAAAAUAUUGCCAACCUAACAAUAUGCAUUCUGUAGUUUUUAGUGUACAUAUCUUAUACUUAAUUUGAUAAGGUUAUUCCUAAGUAUUUUUGAUGUGAUCUUAAUUGGAACGAUUUUCUGAGUUUUGUUUUUAGAUUGUUAAUUGCUAGUAUAGAGAAAUUUAAAAUAUUUUAUAUAUUUUAUAUGCUGCAAACUUCUUUGAACUCAUCUUUAAAUUCUAAACAUAUUUGAUAGAGUCCUUUGGACUUUUUAUACAUGAGAUCAUGUCAUUUGCAAACAGUCGGAGUUUGACUUCCUUUCCAUACUAGAAACGUUAUAUUUAUUUUUCUAAAUGAAUUGCCCUGUCUACAUUCUCCAGUACAAUGUUGCGAACAAGUGUCAACAGUGGAAAUAUUUGACUUCUUUCUAAUAUCAGAGAAAUUAGUGAACCUUUCAGAUUACUUAUGAUGAUAUGUGAGCUUUUCAUAGAUGCCCUUUGAAAUGAAGAAAGUUCUCUUAUCUGCCUAAUUUGCUGCAUGUUUUUAUAAUACUGAAUCUGGGAAUUUUCAAGUGCUUGUUGCACACCUUCUGAGACGAUUGUGUAGUUUUUAUUCUUUAUUAAUAUAGUGUAUGACAUUAAUUGUAUCAUAUGUUGAACCAAAUUUGCAUUCCUGAGGUAAAUACCUUUUGCCAUAGUUUAUAAUACUUUCUACAUGUUGCUGAUUUCAUUUGAUAAUAUCUCGCUGCUGAUUUUUGUCUCUGUAUUUAUAAGGCAUAUUGGUCUUCAUUCUCCUUAUUUGAAAUGUCUUUGUGUAGUUGUUCAAUCAGGGUAAACUAAUUCAUAGUAUACAAUGGGAAGUGAUCUAUUUUCUACUUCUUUAUUAUUAUUGUAUUGUUUUGAAAUAUUUUUGAUAAAUUAGUAUUAAUUUUAAGUGAUUUUAAUAACACAUCAAUGAGUUCCUGAUGAGGGCAGGGAGGUGAAUCCUAAGAACAAUCAUGUGAGUUUGGAAGGAGACCCUUCCCCAGCUGAGCCUCAGCCUGAGCCAUCCCCUACAUCUAGACCGAAGACCCAGAGAAACCGUGAGUAGUAUGUGUGUGGUUCUGAGCCACUAAGGUAUGUAGUAAUUUGUUAUGCACCAAGUAGUAAGUAAUAUACCUGACAGUAAUUGUUAGGUGGUAUUCUGGAUUAGGUCCUGGAAUAGAUAAGUAUAUGAUUAUUAGAAAACCUGGUAAAAUAUGAAGGAAGUUUGUAGAUCAGUUAAUAGUCUUGAAAAACAGUUAAAUUCUUAGUUUUCAUGAAUAUGCUAUGGUUACAAUAUAUAUUAACAUUCUAGUUAUCUGAAUGGUAUAUGAAACUGUCUGUACUUACCUAUGUGCAUUUAUGUAAAUCUGCAGUUAUUUCAAAAUAAAUAUGUUUUUUAAUAUUAUUAUUAUUUUUUUAAGAAAAGUAAGCAAGUAAAGACAUCAGCAAAAAACUUUUGCCUCCAGAUACAAGUGGGCAUGUAGGGAGAGAAUAGUAAACUGGCUUUUCUUUUCUUUUCUAGGCAACAUUCGAAACCCAGGUGCCACUCCUUCAGGAAGGUACCAUCAAGCUCCAAGGACUCAUCCUCUUUCUCCUUCCCCACUACCUAGUCAUUAGAGCGUCAGCAUCCACUUCCUGAAAGGAAGAUGCCUGUUUUUCACAUAUCCCAGAAAGCCUCAUUUUAGGACAGCAUUUAGCAGAGUGUAUUCAGGAUCCCACUAACCUUUUCGGAAGACAUGACUUCCAGAUGAUAUAAGGCUCCAUCAGGAACUGUGCAGGACUGUGCACUCUGUUGAUACUCACAUGGUGGAAUUAUAUUGCCCUUGGCCAACCCUAAAGCCAUCAAGAUAGCAGGUUUGGAAUAAUUCACUGUCGAAGUCUUCUUGAGCUGAGCAGUCAUGUGAGCUUGGAAGAUGAUCCCUCUCCAGCUGAUCCUUCAGCUCAGGCCAUCAUCUACAUCUGGAUUCCUGACCCGGAGAAACUAUGAGUAAUGUGUGCUGCUUUUGAGCCACUAAGCUACAUGAAUUAAUGAAGGAUCAUUAUUAAGUUUUUAAUGGGUCAAGAGAAAGUUACCACUGAGGUCUUCUCUACCUGGGCAACAAUUGACUCCUAACAACCACUAUAAGCUUGGAAGAUGAUCCCUCCCCAGCUGAUCCUUCAGUUCACAUGAAGCAUUUGGAAGUAAACACACGAUGGACUGAACACUUUGCUGCUUAGAAACUUCUUCUUCCAGAUUCCCUAGUUCAUCAUUAAGUAGUUAGGCCUCUCACAAAGCCCUUGGUCACGGAUACAGGUCAGCCGUUCUUUACCCAAUCAAAACAGGGAUGGCCUUUACUGCAGUUACUAAUAUCUUGUUUUUUAGUUUCAUCUGACAUUUUGUCAGAAUGGCCCUUAUGUCAGUAUUUCUAUCAGCAGUGAGGACUAAACUCUGAUUUUUUUAUCUUGCCCAAAUUCCUAUCUAAAAGGUCUGGGGAGUCAUGCCCUACAAAUGAUAAAUUCUCAUCAGAUGGGUUUUAUUUGACCCUGUAUAUCGUGACUUACUUUCCAACCUGACUGUGGCAUAACAUUACAAAAGAAGGAAGAAAAUCAAAAUAUUUUACUCCAAAAACAUGUUUCUUUGUUGCAUUUUGAAAUGGUCCUGCAAGCCAUCCUUUGUGGAGGAAAAUUCACGUCUGUAAAGAAUCUCUAUUAGCCUCUAUAUCUAUAGAGGUUAAUAUAUAUCUAUAUGUUAGCCUCUAUAUAUAUAAUAUAAUAUAAUCUAUAUCUAUAACCUCUAUAUCUAUAUCUGUAAAGAAUCUCUAUUAACCUCUAUAUCGAGGUAUAAUCUCUAUACCUCGACCUUUGUCUGUCAGGCCCUUCCAAUUCUGAAUAGAUUAGGUAAGAGUGUAGCACCUUUUAAAGUCUGAAUAGGCAACAUUUGUCAUCUAUUAUCUCUAAGUGCAAUGGCUAUGAGACUUCAAAAGAACCUUGGUCUCCAAAGUCUUUUGUCUUAACCUGAACAUUUCCUUUCUAUUGAUCCCAG
rnacentral:lncRNA from 1 species